rnacentral:rRNA from 1 species
UACGUAGGGGCCUAGCGUUGUCCGGAAUUAUUGGGCGUAAAGAGCUCGUAGGCGGUUCGUCACGUCGGCUGUGAAAUCCCCGAGGCUCAACCUCGGGUCUGCAGUCGAUACGGGCGGACUUGAGUACUGCAGGGGAGACUGGAAUUCCUGGUGUAGCGGUGAAAUGCGCAGAUAUCAGGAGGAACACCGGUGGCGAAGGCGGGUCUCUGGGCAGUAACUGACGCUGAGGAGCGAAAGCGUGGGGAGCGAACAGG